rnacentral:rRNA from 1 species
AGAGUUUGAUCCUGGCUCAGGAUGAACGCUGGCGGCGUGUCUAAGGCAUGCAAGUCGAACGAUCUUCCGUAGCAAUACGGAAGGCAGUGGCAAACGGGAGAGUAACACAUUGGUAACCCACCCUGAGGACGUGAACAACCCCGCGAAAGUGGGGCUAAUACACGAUGAUAGUGGGGGGACACAAGUCAUUCCCACUUAAAGCUCCGACGCCUCGGGAGGGGCCUAUGUCCUAUCAGCUUGUUGGUGAGGUAAAAGCUCACCAAGGCGACGACGGGUACCGGGUGUGAGAGCAUGGCCCGGCUCACUGGGACUGAGACACUGCACAGACUCCUACGGGAGGCUGCAGUCAAGAAUAUUCCUCAAUGGCCGAAAGGCUGAAGGAGCGACGCCGCGUGCAGGAAGACGCCCCUCGGGGUGUAAACUGCUUUUAUUGGGGACGAAUUAUGACGGUACCCAAUGAAUAAGGGGCUGCUAACCUCGUGCCAGCAGCAGCGGUAAUACGAGGGCCCCGAGCGUUAUCCGGAUUUAUUGGGCGUAAAGGGUGUGUAGGCCGUUUAUCGCAUCUCCUGUUAAAUCACGAGGCUCAACCUCGUGGCCGCAGGAGAGAUGGGUAAGCUAGAGGCCGGGAGAGGUACGCGGAAUUGCUGGUGUAGGGGUUAAAUCCGUUAAUAUCAGCAGGAACACCAAAUGCGAAGGCAGCGUACUGGAACGGUCCUGACGCUGAAACACGAAAGCGUGGGGAGCGAAGAGGAUUAGAUACCCUCGUAGUCCACGCCGUAAACGAUGGAUGCUAAACAUUGGGAGUGUCGACCCUCUCAGUGUUGUCAACCUAAGAUAACUCGUUAAGCAUCCCGCCUGGGGAGUACGGCCGCAAGGCUAAAACUCAAAGGAAUAGACGGGGACCCGCACAAGCGGUGGAGCGUGUGGUUUAAUUCGACGGUAAGCGAGGAACCUUACCAAGACUUGACAUCUAGCUGCAAGGCCUGGAAACAGGCAAGCCUUCGAGGGUGCUAGACAGAUGCUGCAUGGUUGUCGUCAGCUCGUGCCGUGAGGUGUACCGUUAAGUCGGGAAACGAGCGCAACCCCUAUCCUAUGUUUUACAUGUCAUAGGAAACUGCCCGCUUUAAGUGGGAGGAAGGUGGGGAUGACGUCAAAUCAGCAUGGUUCUUACGUCUUGGGCGACACACGCGCUACAAUGGAGAGUACAACGGGUUGCCAAACCGCAAGGUGGAGCUAAUCCCUUAAAACUUUCCUCAGUUCGGAUUGGGGUCUGAAACUCGACCCCAUGAAGCUGGAAUCGCUAGUAAUCGCGGAUCAGCCACGCCGCGGUGAAUACGUUCUCGGGUCUUGUACUCACCGCCCGUCACGUCAAGAGAGUCGGUAACACCCGAAGGCCCGGUUCAUCCGGGACGAAGGUGGGAUCGAUGAUAGGGACGAAGUCGUAACAAGGCA